CGAUAUAUCUUUCAAGUUUCUGAGCUAUCAGCUUUCGACGGUAGGGUAUUGGCCUACCGUGGCAGUGACGGGUAACGGGGAAUUAGGGUUCGAUUCCGGAGAGGGAGCCUGAGAAACGGCUACCACAUCUAAGGAAGGCAGCAGGCGCGCAAAUUACCCAAUGAAAACAGCUUCGAGGUAGUGACGAGAAAUAACAAUACAGGGCAUUUUUUGUUCUGUAAUUGGAAUGAUGGGAAUGUAAAACCCUUUCAGAGUAACAAUUGGAGGGCAAGUCUGGUGCCAGCAGCCGCGGUAAUUCCAGCUCCAAUAGUGUAUAUUAGAGUUGUUGCAGUUAAAAAGCUCGUAGUUGGAUUUCUGUCGUGGUCAUCCGGUUCCGCCCGUAUGGGUGUGCACCUGGUUUGCCCUCGGCUUUCUUCCGUUUGCCUCUUGGCGCUUCACUGCGUCUUUUGGUUUUUCGGAACUUUUACUUUGAGAAAAAUAGAGUGUUUCAAGCAGGCUUGUCGCCCUGAAUACUUCAGCAUGGAAUAAUAAGAUAGGACC
rnacentral:rRNA from 1 species